UGUGUUGAGAGUAGAUUCGGUUUCGAUCGAGAUUGUCGAUCGAAAGUAAUGGGGAAAGUUUGGUGCAAACCCAACGCUGUCCCGCAACUGUGUUUCGAGGUACGAACUCGAUUAGUCAGAACACCCGCCGAUUCGAUAAAUCCCAA
rnacentral:ncRNA from 2 species